GCACUGCUGAGGGAUCCCAAAAUAGGACGAAACGGCCGUUCAGUGC
rnacentral:hammerhead_ribozyme from 1 species